AUCUGGCUGGCUCAGUUGGUAGAGCAAGAGGCUCUUGAUCUCAGGGUUGUGAGUUUGAGCCCCACAUUGGGUA
rnacentral:tRNA from 1 species